GAUGAACGCUAGCGGCAGGCCUAACACAUGCAAGUCGAGGGGCAGCACAUAAAGUGGUUUACUACUUUUGGUGGCGACCGGCGGACAGGUGCGUAACGCGUAUGCAACCUGCCUCCAACAGGGGGAUAACGGAGAGAAAUUUCCACUAAUACCCCAUAAUAUCAGAAUCGGCAUCGGUUCAUGUUGAAAUUUUCGGAGGUGACGGAUGGGCAUGCGUAGCAUUAGCUUGUUGGUGAGGUAACGGCUCACCAAGGCGACGAUGCUUAGGGGGACUGCGAGGUUUUCCCCCAACACUGGUACUGGGACACGGACCAGACUCCUACGGGAGGCAGCAGUGAGGAAUAUUGGUCAAUGGGCGCAAGCCUGAACCAGCCAUGCCGCGUGCAGGAUGACGGCUCUAUGAGUUGUAAACUGCUUUUGUACGAGGGUAAAGUGGGUUACGUGUAACCUUUUGGAAGUAUCGUACGAAUAAGGAUCGGCUAACUCCGUGCCAGCCGCCGCCGUAA
rnacentral:rRNA from 1 species